UGAGAAACCCGAAAGAUCGAAGGAGGAGACUCAUCGUCAGUGUGAUUAGCUACCAUGUGAUAUUAUGAUGAAUUGGAAUUUAUUUUAAUUCACAUUAUUACUGUGGCUGUGUCUAAUUACGUCGGCGUGCACUUCUCCUCUAGUAGAACGUCGCGACCCGCUGAGUGUCGGUUUAAGGAUCAAGUUUGUCGACUGUAUCGUCGCUUUUUGCGUUACGUGUACAGACAACUAAAAUUCCCAAUCGACUGCUCGGCGGUAUAACUUAAAGGUAUCAAGCCGCACUUGAAUGCGUUUAGACUUGUCGCAAGCUUUAUCAUAUUUAAUUAUAGUCCUGGAUUGCGGACCUAGUGCCGUACCUGGGAGUGAUUAGCUGUUGGUUGACAAUGUUCUCAAACUGGCUUAUGCAUUAUGCAUUUAUUGCAAAUGAUACCUGUCAGCGACGCUAUUGCUUUGGGUACUUUCAGGACCCGUCUUGAAACACGGACCAAGGAGUCUAACAUGUACGCAAGUCAUUGGGAUUAUUUAAACCUAAAGGCAUAUUGAAAGAGAAGAUCGGUCUUGUGCCGAUUUAGGGAGGAUAGGCCUCUCGCAAAAAGGCUUCGCACUCCCGGGGCGUCUCUUAAAGUCAUUGCGACUUGAGGUGCACCCAGAGCGUACACGUUGGGACCCGAAAGAUGGUGAACUAUGCCUGGUCAGGAUGAAGUCAGGGGAAACCCUGAUGGAGGUCCGUAGCGUAUCUGACGUGCAAAUCGAUCGUCGGAACUGGGUAUAGGGG
rnacentral:rRNA from 1 species